ensembl:lncRNA
GGGACCGGGGCAGGACCCGGGAGCGGAAGGGGAGGAGGCCGGGGAGGAGCAUCCAGGGCGGCCACCGCGGCAGCGGCUGAACUUUGCUCUUUCACGGGAGGCGGGGAGAGCCCCGGGGCUCGGCGGAGCCGGUCCCGCCGCACCCGCAGCCGCACCGGCACCGGGCUGCGAGCGGCGGCGGGGCCCGGAGAGCGGCGAGGGCGAACCGGGGCAGCGCCGCCUCCUUCCUCCUCCUCCUCCUCCUCCUCCUCUCCUCCUCCUCCUUCCAGCCGGUGCCGCGGAGCGCAGGAGCCACCGGGGGCGGGAGCGGCCCCGCAUGCGGCCGGUGCCCGCGGGGGGAUGCGCCGCGCCCCGGCCCCGCCGCCGCCGCCGCCGCAAACUUUCCGCGGGGCCGUGAACCGGCAGGAGGAGGAGGAGGAGAGCGACAAAUCCCUGAGGGGGCGACCCCAAAAAAAAAAAAACCUAAAAAAGAAAAACUACCCCAAAAAGCGGCGCUUCUCCCAGCCAGCGAUUCCUCGGUAAAACUUACCGAACUCGGCGUGGGGAAGCAACGGGAGGGGAAGAACCGGGAAGGGAAGAACCGGGAGGAGAGAACCGGAGAAGAACCGGGAGGAGAGAACCGGGAGGAGAAGAACCGGGAGGAGAAGAUCCGGGAGGAGGAGAACCGGGAGGAGAAGAACCGGGAGGAGAAGAACCGGGAGCAGAACCAGCGCCGAGAGCAGAACCGGGAGCAGAAGCAGCCUCGGGAGGAGGAGAAGCACCGGGAGCAGCAGCAGCACCGGCAGGCUCCGCUCGAUGCGGCGCUGAGCCCCCGCGGCCCCGCGGAGCCAUGGCCAUGGUGGCCGGCGCUUGGGGCGAACCGAACGGCGGCGGAGCCGGCGGCACCGGAGGCGGCGGCGGCGGCGGAGCGGAGGAGGCGGCGUCCCCCGGUGGCGGCGGCAGCGACGCGGAGCACGGCGAGGAGGAGCGGCCCGGGGCCGGCGCGGACUGCGUGGUGUGCGGGGACAAAUCCAGCGGGAAGCACUACGGAGUGUUCACCUGCGAGGGCUGCAAGAGCUUCUUCAAGCGCAGCAUCCGCAGGAACCUCAGCUACACCUGCAGAUCCAACCGGGACUGCCAGAUCGACCAGCACCACCGGAACCAGUGCCAGUACUGCCGCCUCAAGAAGUGCUUCCGAGUGGGGAUGAGGAAGGAAGGUACGGAAAAAAAUCCUGAAAAACCCCGAGGAAUCCCGGGAAUGCCGGGUUUUGGGGGAAAAAAACCCCGUGUUCCCCCCUUUUUUGGGGGAUUUUUGGGGGAUUUUUUUUGGGUUUUCUGAGCCCACCUGGGGCUGGGUGUGGGGAUGUGGGAUGGGGUGGAUUCCUGGGGUUUAUCCCAAAAAAUCCUGGGUUUAUCCCAAAAAUCCAGUGGGAUACAUGUAGGAUCAGGCUGAAAAUCCAGUGGGAUUUUUUGGGGUGGGGGUAAAAAUCCACUGUGAUUUUUUGGUAUUGGGCUAAAAAAACCCAGUGUGUUUUUUCGGGAUCAUGAUAAAGACCCAGUAAGAUUUUUUGGAAUCAGGAUAAAGACCCAGUGAGAUUUUUUGGAAUCAGGAUAAAGACCCAGUGAGAUUUUUUGGGAUGGGGAUAAAAAUCUGGUGUGAUUUUUCUGGGAUGGGGAUAAAAACCCAGUGUGAUUUUUUUGGUAUUGGGAUGAAGACCCAGUGGGAUUUUUUGGGAUGGCAACGAAGACCAAGUGUGAUUUUUUGGGUUUGGGA